rnacentral:tRNA from 1 species
GCGCCCUUUAGCUCAGCUGGAUAGAGCGUUUGACUACGAAUCAAAAGGUCGGGAGUUCGAAUCUCUCAGGGCGCGCCA